GCGUCGUGAUUAGCUAGAUGGUAAGGUAAAAGCUUACCAUAGCUACGAUCAGUAGCUGGUCUAGAGAGGAUGAUCAGCCACACUGGGACUGAGGAUACGGCCCAGACUCCUACGGGAGGCAGCAGGUGAGGAAUUUUGCGCAAUGGGGGAAACCCUGACGGCAGCAACGCCGCGUGGAUCGAUGAAGCUUUGCGGAGUGUAAAGAUCUGUCAUAAGGGAAGGAAUAAUAUAUAUUCUAACACAAUAUAUAUCUGACGGUACCUUAUAAGAAAGCACCGGCUAACUAUGUGCCAGCAGCCGCGGUAA
rnacentral:rRNA from 1 species